GUGUUCACUUCGACAGCACAUAUACUAAAACUGGAAUGAUACAGAGAUUAGUAUGGCUCCUGCGCAAGGAUGACACACAAAUUCAUUAAGCAUUCCAUAUUUUU
ensembl:snRNA U6 U6 spliceosomal RNA